rnacentral:rRNA from 1 species
UACGUAGGGACCAAGCGUUGUUCGGAUUUACUGGGCGUAAAGCGUAUGCAGGCGGAUACUUAAGUAGGAAGUGAAAGGUGGGAGCUCAACUCCCACAUUGCUCCCUAUACUGGGUGUCUUGAGUGGCGGAGAGGGAGAUGGAACGACACGUGUAGCGGUGAAAUGCGUUGAUAUGUGUCGGAACACCAAUGGCGAAAGCAAUCUCCUGGACGCAAACUGACGCUGAGAUACGAAAGCCAAGGUAGCAAACAGG